rnacentral:misc_RNA from 1 species
UUACCGUAGGUGAACCUGCGGAAGGAUCAUUAUUGUAUAACCGAGGUGCGAGGGCUGUCGCUGACCCGAAAGGUCGUGCACGCCCGAGUGCCCUCACACACAUCCAUCUCACCCCUAUGUGCACCACCGCGUGAGUCUCCCUUUGGCUUGUUCGGAGGGGGGCUUACGUUUUCACACAAACUUUGUAUGCAGUGUAGAAUGUAUUUUUUGUUUUUGCGAUCACGCAAUCAAUACAACUUUCAACAACGGAUCUCUUGGCUCUC